rnacentral:lncRNA from 1 species
ACGGUCGUCAGAGGAGGAUCGAAAAUCCAUCCCUGGGACUGACCACGAGUUAGGGAAAGGUGAUGGGAUCCAUGCCCUUCUCUUUUCCCUCUUUCUUUUCCUUUUUUUUAUUUAUUUUAUUGCAAUGGUGGGCUGGUUGCCAGAGUUGGGGGACCGACGUGGCAUCUGUGCAUGGGUGGCACUGGCUGGCCAGAGGUCCGGCCAUCCUCAUG